rnacentral:rRNA from 1 species
UACGUAGGGGGCAAGCGUUGUCCGGAUUUAUUGGGCGUAAAGAGCGUGUAGGCGGUUAGGUAGGUCCGUUGUGAAAACUCGAGGCUCAACCUCGAGACGCCGAUGGAAACCAUCUGACUAGAGUCCGGAAGAGGAGAGUGGAAUUCCUGGUGUAGCGGUGAAAUGCGCAGAUAUCAGGAAGAACACCAAUGGCGAAGGCAGCUCUCUGGGACGGUACUGACGCUGAGACGCGAAAGCGUGGGGAGCGAACAGG